UACGGGGGGGAGCAAGCGUUGUUCGGAUUUACUGGGCGUAAAGGGCGCGUAGGCGGCCACCGCAAGUCGGUUGUGAAAUCUCCGGGCUUAACCCGGAAAGGUCAAUCGAUACUGCGGGGCUAGAGUGCAGAAGGGGCAACUGGAAUUCUCGGUGUAGCGGUGAAAUGCGUAGAUAUCGAGAGGAACACCUGCGGCGAAGGCGGGUUGCUGGGCUGACACUGACGCUGAAGCGCGAAAGCUAGGGGAGCGAACGGG
rnacentral:rRNA from 1 species